rnacentral:rRNA from 1 species
UACGUGGGUGGCAAGCGUUGUCCGGAUUUAUUGGGUUUAAAGGGUGCGUAGGCGGCUUUGUAAGUCAGUGGUGAAAUAUGGCAGCUUAACUGUCAAGGUGCCAUUGAUACUGCGGAGCUUGAGUACAGAUGAGGUAGGCGGAAUUGACGGUGUAGCGGUGAAAUGCUUAGAUAUCGUCAAGAACACCUAUAGCGAAGGCAGCUUACUAGGCUGUAACUGACGCUGAGGCACGAAAGUGUGGGGAUCAAACAGG